AGCAGCCGCGGUAAUUCCAGCUCCAAUAGCGUAUAUUAAAGUUGCUGCAGUUAAAAAGCUCGUAGUUGAAUUUCGGGACCAUCAUGUCGGUCGUGCCUCGGUACGUACUGGCAUUGUUGGUUUCUACCUUCUGACGAACCAUGAUGUCAUUUAUUUGGUGUCGUGGGAAAUCAGGACUGUUACUUUGAAAAAAAUUAGAGUGUUUAAAGCAGGCUCACGCUUGAAUACAUUAGCAUGGAAUAAUGAAAUAGGACGUUUGAUUCUAUUUUGUUGGUUUCUAGGAUCGACGUAAUGAUUAAUAGGGAUAGUUGGGGGCAUUAGUAUUCAAUUGUCAGAGGUGAAAUUCUUGGAUUUAUUGAAGACUAACUACUGCGAAAGCAUUUGCCAAGGAUGUUUUCAUUAAUCAAGAACGAAAGUUAGGGGAUCGAAGACGAUCAGAUACCGUCGUAGUCUUAGCCAUAAACUAUGCCGACUAGGG
rnacentral:rRNA from 1 species